rfam:Gossypium raimondii chromosome 13, whole genome shotgun sequence.
AAACAAUGCGUCGGGCAUUUUCUAAUUAAUUCUUUGAAACGCUCCCAUGCUUCAUAUAAUGUCUCAUCUUCAGAUUGUCUGAACGAUGUAAUGUCAUUCCUCAGCUU